rnacentral:rRNA from 1 species
UACGGAAGGUGCAAGCGUUAUCCGGAUUUACUGGGCUUAAAGGGCGCGUAGGUGGGUUGGUAAGUCAGUGGUGAAAUACUUUCGCUUAACGAAGGAACUGCCAUUGAUACUACCAGUCUUGAAUACAGUGGAGGUAGGCGGAAUGCGUCAUGUAGCGGUGAAAUGCUUAGAUAUGACGCAGAACACCAAUUGCGAAGGCAGCUUGCUACACUGUUAUUGACACUGAGGCACGAAAGCGUGGGGAUCAAACAGG